rnacentral:rRNA from 1 species
UACGAAGGGGGCUAGCGUUGCUCGGAAUGACUGGGCGUAAAGGGCGCGUAGGCGGACAUAUUAGUCAGGCGUGAAAUUCCUGGGCUCAACCUGGGGUCUGCGUUUGAGACGGUGUGUCUAGAGUUUGGCAGAGGGUCGUGGAAUUCCCAGUGUAGAGGUGAAAUUCGUAGAUAUUGGGAAGAACACCGGUGGCGAAGGCGGCGACCUGGUCCAUGACUGACGCUGAUGCGCGAAAGCGUGGGGAGCAAACAGG